UACGUAGGGGGCAAGCGUUGUCCGGAAUCAUUGGGCGUAAAGAGCUUGUAGGCGGUUUGUCGCGUCUGCUGUGAAAUUUCGGGGCUCAACCCCGAACUUGCAGUGGGUACGGGCAGACUAGAGUGUGGUAGGGGAGACUGGAAUUCCUGGUGUAGCGGUGAAAUGCGCAGAUAUCAGGAGGAACACCAGUGGCGAAGGCGGCUCACUGGACGACUGUUGACGCUGAGGUGCGAAAGCGUGGGGAGCAAACAGG
rnacentral:rRNA from 1 species